AUUGAACGCUGGCGGCAGGCCUAACACAUGCAAGUCGAGCGGAGCGGCGGACGGGUGCGUAAUGCCUAGGAAUCUGCCUGGUAGUGGGGGAUAACGUCCGGAAACGGGCGCUAAUACCGCUUACUAUCAGAUGACCCUAGGCCGGAUUAGCGAUUUGGGGGGGUAAAGGCCUACCAAGGCGACGAUCCGUAACUGGUCUGAGAGGAUGAUCAGGCACACUGGAACUGAGACACGGUCCAGACGCCUACAGGAGGCAGCAGUGGGGAAUAUUGGACAAUGGGCGAAAGCCUGAUCCAGCCAUGCCGCGUGUGUGAAGAAGGUCUUCGGAUUGUAAAGCACUUUAAGUUGGGAGGCGUUACCAACAGAAUAAGCACCGGCUAACUUCGUGCCAGCCGCCGCGGUAAUAC
rnacentral:rRNA from 1 species